AUUGAACGCUGGCGGCAUGCCUUACACAUGCAAGUCGAACGGUAACAGGUCUUCGGAUGCUGACGAGUGGCGAACGGGUGGGUAAUGCAUCGGAACGUGCCCAGUUGUGGGGGAUAACUGCUCGAAAGAGCAGCUAAUACCGCAUACGACCUACGGGUGAAAGCGGGGGAUCGCAAGACCUCGCGCUAUUGGAGCGGCCGAUGUCAGAUUAGCUAGUUGGUGGGGUAAAGGCCUACCAAGGCGACGAUCUGUAGCUGGUCUGAGAGGACGACCAGCCACACUGGGACUGAGACACGGCCCAGACUCCUACGGGAGGCAGCAGUGGGGAAUUUUGGACAAUGGGGGCAACCCUGAUCCAGCCAUGCCGCGUGCGGGAAGAAGGCCUUCGGGUUGUAAACCGCUUUUGUCGGGGAAGAAACGGUCUGCGCUAAUACCGCGGGCUAAUGACGGUACCCGAAGAAUAAGCACCGGCUAACUACGUGCCAGCCGCCGCCGUAAAAC
rnacentral:rRNA from 1 species